CAAUAGCGUAUAUUAAAGUUGUUGCAGUUAAAAAGCUCGUAGUUGGAUUUCGGGACGGGCCAGUUGGUCCGCCGCAAGGUGUGUUACUGACUGGUCUGUUCUUCUUCGCAAAGACUGCGUGUGCUCUUCGUUGAGUGUGCGUAGGAUUUACGACGUUUACUUUGAAAAAAUUAGAGUAUUCAAAGCAGGCUAUCGCUUGAAUACAUGAGCAUGGAAUAAUGGAAUAGGACUUUGGUCCUAUUUUGUUGGUUUCUAGGACCGAAGUAAUGAUUAAGAGGGACAAUUGGGGGCAUCCGUAUUUCGUUGUCAGAGGUGAAAUUCUUGGAUUUACGAAAGACGAACAACUGCGAAAGCACUUGCCAAGAGUGUUUUCAUUAA
rnacentral:rRNA from 1 species